AGCCGUGGAGAGUCACCAAGGAGGAGGAGAGGAGAAGGAUAGCGAACGAUUUCUUCCACAAAUCUCUGUGAUUGAAUAAACCUUAUGUGUAGCUUGAGAUCUACUAUGGAGGACUGAGCUUCUUUAGAUUAGAUUAUAACAUGGUUGAGCUGAAAGUACUGCCACUCUGGUAUGCGUACAAGAGGUCAAACAAGAGACGAAGGGGUUAAAUUAGUACCUGAAAUAGGCAGCCCUACUUUUUGUAUUUGAAGCUUUCCAAGUAGUUUCAAUGUAGUCCCGCGUUGAAAGAAGCAACGAAUUGUUAGUUUGUAAAUAAUCGCCCUUGUAUUUUCUUUUCACCAUUUA